ensembl:lncRNA novel transcript, antisense to GPR107
GGGCGCAGCCGCCGGAAGGGCCCGGGGAGCGGGGCUCGGCGGCUAGCUCCGCUGACCCUGUGGUCGUUUUCCUGGAGAUUGCGACCUAGGAAGUCGUCGAGGAGCCUGUGCUGCCCACCUCGGGGCCCUUCGAUCGGCCGCUCCUGUGCAGACUUUCAGUUAGAGAUGAAGCCAACCUAUUGGCGGUUGCCAUAACAACGGUGGCCGAACCAGACCAGCCCGGGCCGCACCUCCGCCUCGCUGAGCUUUGGAAGCGACCUUGGGCUCCGGGGACCCCUGAUCUCAGGGUCGGGGGAUAAGCUGUGUCAGCCGCACGGUGUCGGGCCACUGAUUGAACUGAUUUCACUGAGCGUUGACUCGGAGGAAAAUAUCUAAAAAUUCCCGGCUCGCCGUAGGGGUCCUGUGGUUUUCUAGGCGCUUCACACUCAAAUACAAGCGAAAUGGUUGCAAUAAUACGAUUGAUUGAGCCCUUAUGAGGCAAUUUGUUA